UACGUAGGGUGCAAGCGUUAAUCGGAAUUACUGGGCGUAAAGCGUGCGCAGGCGGUUCGCUAAGACAGAUGUGAAAUCCCCGGGCUUAACCUGGGAACUGCAUUUGUGACUGGCGGGCUAGAGUAUGGCAGAGGGGGGUAGAAUUCCACGUGUAGCAGUGAAAUGCGUAGAGAUGUGGAGGAAUACCGAUGGCGAAGGCAGCCCCCCUGGGCCAAUACUGACGCUCAUGCACGAAAGCUGGGGAGCAAACAGG
rnacentral:rRNA from 1 species